rnacentral:rRNA from 1 species
UACAGAGGGGGCAAGCGUUAUUCGGAAUUAUUGGGCGUAAAGGGCGCGUAGGCGGCCUGGCAAGUGGAAGGUGAAAUCCCUCGGCUUAACCGAGGAACUGCCUCCCAAACUGCUUGGCUUGAGACCGGGAGAGGUGAGUGGAAUUCCCAGUGUAGCGGUGAAAUGCGUAGAUAUUGGGAGGAGCACCAGUGGCGAAGGCGCCUCACUGGACCGGUACUGACGCUGAUGCGCGAAGGCGUGGGGAGCAAACGGG